UGAAAAAAACUUUAAACCGUUAAGAACCGAUACCCGAUAACAAAAAAAAUCAAAACCGACAUCAAAACCACUAAACCAAUAACCCAAUGAUAUAAACCAAUAACUUUUUUAUCGGUUCGGCUUAUCGGUUUAGAUUCGGUUUUGAACAGCCCUACUCAAGUAUAUAACCCUCAGAGAUAGGAUGAGCUCUGUGAAAGAAACUUGAAA
rnacentral:misc_RNA from 1 species